GACGAACGCUGGCGGCAUGCCUAAUACAUGCAAGUCGAGCGAACAGAUGAAGUGCUUGCACUUCUGACGUUAGCGGCGAACGGGUGAGUAACACGUAAGGAAUCUACCUAUAAGCGGGGGAUAACAUUCGGAGACGGGUGCUAAUACCGCAUAAUAUCUUCUUCCGCAUGGAAGAAGAUUGAAAGACGGCUCUGCUGUCACUUAUAGAUGACCUUGCGGUGCAUUAGUUAGUUGGUGGGGUAACGGCCUACCAAGACGAUGAUGCAUAGCCGACCUGAGAGGGUGAUCGGCCACAUUGGGACUGAGACACGGCCCAAACUCCUACGGGAGGCAGCAGUAGGGAAUCUUCCGCAAUGGGCGAAAGCCUGACGGAGCAAUGCCGCGUGAGUGAAGAAGGCCUUCGGGUCGUAAAACUCUGUUAUAAGAGAAGAACAAAUUGUAGAGUAACUACUACAGUCUUGACGGUAUCUUAUCAGAAAGCCACGGCUAACUACGUGCCAGCAGCCGCCGUAA
rnacentral:rRNA from 1 species